rnacentral:rRNA from 1 species
GAUGAACGCUAGCGAUAGGCUUAACACAUGCAAGUCGAGGGGCAGCACAAGGUAGCUUGCUAUCUGGGUGGCGACCGGCGCACGGGUGCGUAACGCGUAUGCAACUUGCCCUAUACAGGAGGAUAACCCGUCGAAAGACGGACUAAUACUGCGUAUGCUCACAACUUGGCAUCAAGUGGUGAGGAAAGAAAUUCGGUAUAGGAUAGGCAUGCGUCCCAUUAGCUUGUUGGUGAGGUAACGGCUCACCAAGGCAACGAUGGGUAGGGGAACUGAGAGGUUUAUCCCCCACAAUGGUACUGAGACACGGACCAGACUCCUACGGGAGGCAGCAGUGAGGAAUAUUGGUCAAUGGGCGCGAGCCUGAACCAGCCAAGUCGCGUGAAGGAUGACUGUCUUAUGGAUUGUAAACUUCUUUUAUACGGGAAUAACAAGAGUCACGGGUGACUCCCUGAAUGUACCGUAUGAAUAAGCAUCGGCUAACUCCGUG